rnacentral:rRNA from 1 species
CCACUUUGUGAUUCAUGACUGGGGUGAAGUCGUAACAAGGUAACCGUAGGGGAACCUGCGGUUGGAUCACCUCCUUAACUUAAAGAAGC